CGGGGCGGGCGGUGCUAAUACAUGCAGUCGAGCGAGCUUGCCUAGAUGAAUUUGGUGCUUGCACCAGAUGAAACUAGAUACAAGCGAGCGGCGGACGGGUGAGUAACACGUGGGUAACCUGCCCAAGAGACUGGGAUAACACCUGGAAACAGAUGCUAAUACCGGAUAACAACACUAGACGCAUGUCUAGAGUUUAAAAGAUGGUUCUGCUAUCACUCUUGGAUGGACCUGCGGUGCAUUAGCUAGUUGGUAAGGUAACGGCUUACCAAGGCAAUGAUGCAUAGCCGAGUUGAGAGACUGAUCGGCCACAUUGGGACUGAGACACGGCCCAAACUCCUACGGGAGGCAGCAGUAGGGAAUCUUCCACAAUGGACGCAAGUCUGAUGGAGCAACGCCGCGUGAGUGAAGAAGGGUUUCGGCUCGUAAAGCUCUGUUGGUAGUGAAGAAAGAUAGAGGUAGUAACUGGCCUUUAUUUGACGGUAAUUACUUAGAAAGUCACGGCUAACUACGUGCCAGCAGCCGCGGUAAUACGUAGGUGGCAAGCGUUGUCCGGAUUUAUUGGGCGUAAAGCGAGUGCAGGCGGUUCAAUAAGUCUGAUGUGAAAGCCUUCGGCUCAACCGGAGAAUUGCAUCAGAAACUGUUGAACUUGAGUGCAGAAGAGGAGAGUGGAACUCCAUGUGUAGCGGUGGAAUGCGUAGAUAUAUGGAAGAACACCAGUGGCGAAGGCGGCUCUCUGGUCUGCAACUGACGCUGAGGCUCGAAAGCAUGGGUAGCGAACAGGAUUAGAUACCCUGGUAGUCCAUGCCGUAAACGAUGAGUGCUAAGUGUUGGGAGGUUUCCGCCUCUCAGUGCUGCAGCUAACGCAUUAAGCACUCCGCCUGGGGAGUACGACCGCAAGGUUGAAACUCAAAGGAAUUGACGGGGGCCCGCACAAGCGGUGGAGCAUGUGGUUUAAUUCGAAGCAACGCGAAGAACCUUACCAGGUCUUGACAUCCAGUGCAAACCUAAGAGAUUAGGUGUUCCCUUCGGGGACGCUGAGACAGGUGGUGCAUGGCUGUCGUCAGCUCGUGUCGUGAGAUGUUGGGUUAAGUCCCGCAACGAGCGCAACCCUGGUCA
rnacentral:rRNA from 1 species